UAGGGAAUCUUCCACAAUGGACGCAAGUCUGAUGGAGCAACGCCGCGUGAGUGAAGAAGGUCUUCGGAUCGUAAACUCUGUUGUUAGAGAAGAACAUGCAGGAGAGUAACUGUUCUUGUAUUGACGGUAUCUAACCAGAAAGCCACGGCUAACUACGCGCCAG
rnacentral:rRNA from 1 species